rnacentral:rRNA from 1 species
GGGUUGUGAGGUUAAGCGAAUAAGCGUACACGGUGGAUGCCUAGGCAAUCAGAGGCGAUGAAGGACGUGCUAAUCUGCGAUAAGCGUCGGUAAGGUGAUAUGAACCGUUAUACCCGACGAUUUCCGAAUGGGGAAACCCAAUAUCCAAUGGAUAUUAUCAUGACGUGAAUACAUAGCGUCAUGAAGCGAACCGGGAGAACUGAAACAUCUCAGUACCCGAGGAAAAGAAAUCAACCGAGAUUCCCCUAGUAGCGGCGAGCGAACGGGGAACAGCCCAGAGUCUUAAUCAAUAGCAGCAUCAGGAGAACGGUCUGGAAAGUCCGGCAGUAAAGGGUGAUAGCCCCGUAUCCGAAGAUGCUGUUAUUGUGAACUCGACGAGUAGGGCGGGACACGUGUUAUCCUGUCUGAAUAUGGGGGACCAUCCUCCAAGGCUAAAUACUCCUGAUUGACCGAUAGUGAACCAGUACCGUGAGGGAAAGGCGAAAAGAACCCGGCGAGGGGAGUGAAAAAGAACCUGAAACCGUGUACGUACAAGCAGUAGGAGCCUCUUUAUGGGGUGACUGCGUACCUUUUGUAUAAUGGGUCAGCGACUUAUAUUCUGUAGCAAGGUUAACCGUAUAGGGGAGCCGUAGGGAAACCGAGUCUUAACUGGGCGAAUGAGUUGCAGGGUAUAGACCCGAAACCCGGUGAUCUAUCCAUGGGCAGGUUGAAGGUUGGGUAACACUAACUGGAGGACCGAACCGACUAAUGUUGAAAAAUUAGCGGAUGACUUGUGGAUGGGGGUGAAAGGCCAAUCAAACCGGGAGAUAGCUGGUUCUCCCCGAAAGCUAUUUAGGUAGCGCCUCGUGAACUCAUCUUCGGGGUAGAGCACUGUUUCGACUAGGGGGUCAUCCCGACUUACCAACUCGAUGCAAACUGCGAAUACCGAAGAAUGUUAUCACGGGAGACACACGGCGGGUGCUAACGUCCGUCGUGAAGAGGGAAACAACCCAGACCGCCAGCUAAGGUCCCAAAGUCAUGGUUAAGUGGGAAACGAAGUGGGAAGGCUCAGACAGCCAGGAUGUUGGCUUAGAAGCAGCCAUCAUUUAAAGAAAGCGUAAUAGCUCACUGGUCGAGUCGGCCCGCGCGGAAGAUGUAACGGGGCUAAACCAUGCACCGAAGCUGCGGCAGCGACACUAUGUGUUGUUGGGUAGGGGAGCGUUCUGUAAGCCUGCGAAGGUGUACUGUGAGGUAUGCUGGAGGUAUCAGAAGUGCGAAUGCUGACAUAAGUAACGAUAAUGCGGGUGAAAAACCCGCACGCCGGAAGACCAAGGGUUCCUGUCCAACGUUAAUCGGGGCAGGGUGAGUCGACCCCUAAGGCGAGGCUGAAAAGCGUAGUCGAUGGGAAACGGGUUAAUAUUCCCGUACUGGUGGUAACUGCGAUGGGGGAACGGAGAAGGCUAGGUUGUCCGGGCGACGGUCGUCCCGGUUCAAGCAUGUAGGCAGAGUGAUUAGGCAAAUCCGGUCACUUAAUGCUGAGGUGUGAUGACGAACCACUAAGGUGGUGAAGCAAUUGAUGCCCUGCUUCCAGGAAAAGCCUCUAAGCUUCAGGUUACCAACAAUCGUACCCCAAACCGACACAGGUGGUCAGGUAGAGAAUACUCAGGCGCUUGAGAGAACUCGGGUGAAGGAACUAGGCAAAAUGGUGCCGUAACUUCGGGAGAAGGCACGCUGGCGGUAAGUGAAGUCCCUCGCGGACGGAGCCGAAGCCAGUCGAAGAUACCAGCUGGCUGCAACUGUUUAUUAAAAACACAGCACUGUGCAAACACGAAAGUGGACGUAUACGGUGUGACGCCUGCCCGGUGCUGGAAGGUUAAUUGAUGGGGUUAUCCUUAGGGAGAAGCUCUUGAUCGAAGCCCCAGUAAACGGCGGCCGUAACUAUAACGGUCCUAAGGUAGCGAAAUUCCUUGUCGGGUAAGUUCCGACCUGCACGAAUGGCGUAAUGAUGGCCAGGCUGUCUCCACCCGAGACUCAGUGAAAUUGAACUCGCUGUGAAGAUGCAGUGUACCCGCGGCAAGACGGAAAGACCCCGUGAACCUUUACUAUAGCUUGACACUGAACAUUGAGCCUUGAUGUGUAGGAUAGGUGGGAGACUAUGAAGUGUGGACGCCAGUCUGCAUGGAGUCAACCUUGAAAUACCACCCUUUAACGUUUGAUGUUCUAACCUAGGCCCGUAAUCCGGGUCGGGGACCGUGUCUGGUGGGUAGUUUGACUGGGGCGGUCUCCUCCUAAAGAGUAACGGAGGAGCACGAAGGUUGGCUAAGCAUGGUCGGACAUCAUGCGGUUAGUGCAAAGGCAUAAGCCAGCUUGACUGUGAGAGUGACGGCUCGAGCAGGUACGAAAGUAGGUCUUAGUGAUCCGGUGGUUCUGAAUGGAAGGGCCAUCGCUCAACGGAUAAAAGGUACUCCGGGGAUAACAGGCUGAUACCGCCCAAGAGUUCAUAUCGACGGCGGUGUUUGGCACCUCGAUGUCGGCUCAUCACAUCCUGGGGCUGAAGUAGGUCCCAAGGGUAUGGCUGUUCGCCAUUUAAAGUGGUACGCGAGCUGGGUUUAGAACGUCGUGAGACAGUUCGGUCCCUAUCUGCCGUGGGCGUUGGAAGAUUGAGAGGGGUUGCUCCUAGUACGAGAGGACCGGAGUGAACGCACCACUGGUGUUCGGGUUGUCAUGCCAAUGGCAUUGCCCGGUAGCUAAGUGCGGAAGAGAUAACCGCUGAAAGCAUCUAAGCGGGAAACUUGCCUCGAGAUGAGUCUUCCCUGUCACCUUGAGUGACCUAAAGGAACGUUUAAGACUAAGACGUUGAUAGGCUGGGUGUGUAAGCGUAGCGAUACGUUGAGCUAACCAGUACUAAUGAACCGUGAGGCUUAACCUGACAACACCGAAGGUGUUU